rnacentral:tRNA from 1 species
AAGAUUUUAAGUUAAACUUAAACUACUAACCUUCAAAGUUAAGAAUGCUGCAUGUAAGUCUUA